AUUCAGAAGGUAAAGAGUUUUCCAUCAUGGGAGAUUUGUUUUACCACUUGAGGCAGGGAAUUCUUGCACCCAGUACAGUUAGUACUAGCUGACUAGAGUGGUGGCUUCCACUUCCAAAAUUCUGUUGGAAAAUGUGAUUCAUUUAUAAAUAUUUGUCUCAUGUGGCUUUUUUAAAAAUCAUUUUUAAAUUUAAUUUUUAUUAUGAACUUUUAGUCAUUAAAAUAUGAGCAUUUCAAUGUAGAGAGAACAAGAUAUUUUUUAAACAGUCAUACAUAACACAAGUCCAAAGCUUCAUAUGCUACUUGUUCAGGAACUUACCUAUUUUGUAAGGACAGGUAGCUAUAGCUAUAAUGCAAAAACAAUUUUAAAUCUACAUGUAAUGUGCUCCUCUUUAAACUAACUGUCAGAACUUUCAACUCUGUAUUUAUUAAUAAUUCACCUCCCCAAAUCUCUCUUCAACAGUAAUAUUACUUGAAUAUGAGCAAAGCCCAGUUUAUUUAAAGGCACCCUCCAAGAAGGGUAGUAGAAAAAUAAUCCUCAGGAAUGGAAGGGGGGAUAGGAAGGGAUAAACAUUUACAUAGGGCCUACUAUGUGCCAGGGGCAACUAGGUGGUACACUGGCUAGAGUGCUAAGUCUAGAGUCAGGAAGACUCAUCUUCCUGAGUUCAAAUCCAGCCUCAGGAAUUUACUGGCUGUGUGACCCUGGGCAAGUCCUUUAACCCAGUGUGCCUCAGUACUUCAUUUGUAAACUGAGCUGGAGAAGGAAAUGGCAAACCAGUCUAGCAUCUUUGCCAAGAAAACCCCAAAUGAAUUAAAAAACAAUUGGACAGAACUGAAAUGACUCAACAACCCUGUGAUGGGCACUGUGCUAAGCCCUUUUAAAAAUAUUAACUUAUUUGAUAAUGGGAUAAUGGGAAUGGGAGGUAUUGAGUUGAAUAGAAGAUAAAACGUAGAACAUGAAUCUCAUCUCUGCCUUUUGGUUCUUAUAGAAUCCUCACCAUUAAAGCCCUUGCUCAACUCUUCCUCCUGGGCUGCUCCUGGAGUCUUGGUUUUUUCCUGAUUGAAUCUAUAACUGAACCAGCCCAAUCAAUCAUUGCCUACACCUUCACCAUCAUCAACUCCCUACAGGGAGUCUACAUCUUCUUGGUACACUGUGUCCUCAGCCGCCAGGUUAAAGAGGAAUUUAAGAAAUGCUUUAAGAAAAUUAAGAAAAGGAUUGAAACAGACACCUAUGUGCUGUCAAGUUCAACUACCCACACCAAAACGCUAGAAAUUUUUGAAAGGAAAAAAGAUGCCACUUUCCCCUGAAAGGAUCUCACUGCUCACCCCAUCAACUGACUCCACCUCCUGGGGGAUCAGAAGAAAGAAAAUGGAAUUUUGGUCAUCCAUGGAACAUUCCAGAAGUACCAUCUCUUGGUGUGCUCUAAGAAGAUUGAGAGUUUGUUUCAGCAAAAUGCUUUGGGUAGACAAUUUUGUUAGAUUUCCUUUAGCACCAGAAUGUCUGCAUUGUGUCCUCAGUGACUCAUACACUCUCCAGCUUACAUGCAUCUGAUUUGUAAUUAUCUUACAUAAGUUAUUAUUAACCCCUUUCUCUGGUUGACUUCCUUUUCCUGAAUUUAGGGGCCAGCAAAGGGUUUAAAAAAGGAGGGUUUAGAGAUAUAAAGGCACCUGCCACUCAGUGAAUGCACCAGAUUAGGGAAAGGAAAGCUUGGGAGAUAAUUGUCUAAAUCCAGUUCUUCUGCCCAACUAACUCCUCAGAAGGAUAUGUAAGUAGGAUGCUGCCUAGUGUUAUAGUGGGGUUUGUUAGGAGAAAGAACAAGAAGGAAAUGUACAAAUAAUCAAGUUUAAUUUUGGGAAGGUUGAGAGGGGAAGAGGGGAAAAGGGUAAGGGAAAUUAUUAUAAUUAAUCCUAAAACUAAUUCUUAUUUUAAACCUAACUUAUCUAAACUAAAUACAUUAAGUUUCCCCAACACAAAUCUCACAAAUGGAGUCCAAUCUAUUGAGCCAAGAUCUUCAGAUGAAACUGUCCAGUAGAGAAGUGGGUCUUUAGUCUUUGUCCAGCUGCCAGCAGCUAGUCCAAGCAGGAGUCCUCUCUCUUCAGCUGGUAUCACCAAAAGGCCAGAAACGUGGUAAAUAGAUGGAAAAACCUCCAAUCUCCAAAACCUCCUUCAGGAAAAAGAGAGUGUCUUAUAGUUGGAACCUUGGAAUCUUCAUCCAGAUCUUGACCCCAGGCUCCCAUGUGACUCUCCAUCACAUGCCCCUGUCAAUCACUUGGAAGCUUACAUCACAAAGUCUUUUUGCAAACUUCCUCUACCUAUUACACUAGAUACUGAUAUGCUAGAGGCCAAAUAAAGAAGCAGGGUAUUUAUUAUCAGUAGACCACCUCCUUCCUAUUUAAAUCACCUUAUUCUCCCCCCCCCCUUCUCCUUUUUCAUAUAAACAAUUCUAAAUGUUUUUACAAUUUUUUUUUGUUUUCAGUACUGUACUGCAAUAAUAUUAUCUGGUCUUUCAUUGCAAAUAUUCAACAUUUCAGCUAUGCUGUGGAUAAAACAGUAUUUUUUGGGCCAGCCUGGGAAUGUGACAUGGUUUUCAUGUUGUUAGUUUCAAGCAACCAAUUCACAGAUGAAUGUUGGUCAUUUAAUCCAUUCAGUCACUUAUCAGUUAUUAUAGUUACUUUGUAGUUUAGAAUCUAUAAGCAAUAUUAAAGAAGUUACCAUUACUAAGUUGUCUCUAUUGUUUUUCCCAAUUAGUAUAUAAUUUUAAGUUAGUUACAUGAGUAAAAGUAAAUAAAGCUAAGUUUUUUCUGUCCUAAUCUCAUUGAUCUGGAACUAAAGAGUCUACCAUCUUUAAGAAUCAAGCACAGCAGGGAACUUGGAAGGAGUAAAAGAUUUGAUGCUAAAGAAAGGAACUUAAAACUUUGAGAAUUCCCAUUUUUACUUGUAGCAGUAAAAAAUAAAGCAUAGAACUAAUAACAUUUAGUAGGAAUAUCCUUAGCAUCUACAAGGUAAUGAUAUUUGACAAUAAAAGAAGACAGGGAAAUGUAAAAACUAUA